UACAGAGGGUGCUAGCGUUGUUCGGAAUCAUUGGGCGUAAAGGGCGCGUAGGCGGCCUGCUAAGUCGGACGUGAAAUCCCUCGGCUCAACCGGGGAACUGCGUCCGAUACUGGUGGGCUCGAAUCCGGGAGAGGGAUGUGGAAUUCCAGGUGUAGCGGUGAAAUGCGUAGAUAUCAGGAGGAACACCGGUGGCGAAGGCGGAUCUCUGGGCCGAUACUGACGCUGAGGAGCGAAAGCGUGGGGAGCGAACAGG
rnacentral:rRNA from 1 species